rnacentral:rRNA from 1 species
ACUGCGCGAGGGACAUUA